GAUGAACGCUGGCGGUGUGCCUAAUACAUGCAAGUCGAACGCACAGCGAAAGGUGCUUGCACCUUUCAAGUGAGUGGCGAACGGGUGAGUAACACGUGGACAACCUGCCUCAAGGCUGGGGAUAACAUUUGGAAACAGAUGCUAAUACCGAAUAAAACUUAGUGUCGCAUGACACAAAGUUAAAAGGCGCUUCGGCGUCACCUAGAGAUGGAUCCGCGGUGCAUUAGUUAGUUGGUGGGGUAAAGGCCUACCAAGACAAUGAUGCAUAGCCGAGUUGAGAGACUGAUCGGCCACAUUGGGACUGAGACACGGCCCAAACUCCUACGGGAGGCUGCAGUAGGGAAUCUUCCACAAUGGGCGAAAGCCUGAUGGAGCAACGCCGCGUGUGUGAUGAAGGCGUUCGGGUCGUAAAGCACUGUUGUAUGGGAAGAACAGCUAGAAUAGGAAAUGAUUUUAGUUUGACGGUACCAUACCAGAAAGGGACGGCUAAAUACGUG
rnacentral:rRNA from 1 species